UACGUUAUCAACAAAGCUGGACGAAGCCAUACUAUCGCAGUGGAACGACCUGUUCUUUGUAGCGAUUAUUAAGUGUUUACACUGCUUAAAGUCUUUUAAAGGCAAUAUGCCAGGUCCCAUAGUUCAGUGCGGGACUGCCACAACGGUACCCGUGGGCUAAAGAAGUGGAUGGAAGAGUUUUGCCCUAUUCACGAGUGCAAUAAAGGAACCUCGCGCUGUCUUAGUGACCCGCCUUAUGUACUCGUCACAUUUCCUACUGAAAGAAAAGAUCCAGAACGUCGUGCCGAAUGGAUUAAAUUACAUCGACUUUACAACGCUCAAAGUAAUCAAUAUCUGCGUCACGCUCGGCCAUGUUUAUGAUAUGGGGUAUCCCGACCUUUGACCCGGACCAGCAUACCUUGCGUGCGGGGAGGGCCCCCAGACAUCCAACACAAACCAAAUCUCACUCUAAGGUCUGGUCACAAGUUGGCAGCCCUGUGUUUCUACCAGCAGACACUGAAAGGACUCUGAUAGUUUGCUUCAGCUCCAGAGACGGCAGGUGGGACGAGUCAACGGAGGCCUGGUGGACGAAGGCAUGCAGCUGAGUACAAUCCAGAAAACAACAGAGGAGGAGUGCAGCAGCCCAGGACCAGAACAAACAGAGUAGCAUCACCAAAGAACAACAGACUCUUCACAACCUGCUCAAACUCUUGGUACAGGACCUCACCACACGGAUCAAGAAGGUUUCCGUCUCAUUUCUACUCUGAAGCUCACCUUCUCCUGCUCAAACUGCUGACAAAUGUUUCUGCUGCUCUAAAGUCUGGUCUCCAGAACUUCCUAAAAACUCUCAAAGGCUCUUCUGCUGCAGGUUGCUUUGUAGAACUGUUCCAGAAAACCUCACUAAACCACAUGGAGGGGCCUCAAGAUAGUCGUCCAAAUGAAACCAUACAAAAACCAAACUAGCACAACCCAAACGCUAAAGUCUCCUGCAGCCUACCAGAGAACCUCUGAGAACAGAGAAUCAGUACAGGAACUCUUACCUUCUGGACAACCAACGUUGGUUCACAAACAAGAAUACAGAAUGUGUCUGACCAAAAACUUCUAAAGACUCACUACAGGCAAGAUAAUGACACAACUCAGCUGUACCAAAUCCACUAAUCACUGCACACAUUAGCACCAUGUGCUAACUGUGGCUAAAGAACCACCUUUACCAAGACAACUAUCCAGUACAAAGUCCUAAAACACACCAAGAAACACAUUAAAGACAAUUUUACUGCUGGAAGCUGCAAGCCAACGCCUAAAGAACAAACUAAAGCAAUGGAGCUAAACCCGGUUCAAUGGUGCAGAGAAGCAGAGGAAAUGUCUGACUGCAGAAAAACAAAGCAGGAAGACACUGAGCUGCUCAGGUGUUCCUGAUAACACCAAGCAGCCACCUGGACAGCCAAUAGGAACACAGCUUACUGGAAGUCCAGAGGGCUGGGUUAGUGAAGGAAAUUUAGUUUAAAGUUGAGGCAGAAAGUUAACAAAGAAAGUUGAAAACCAACUUCUGAUACCUGAAAUCUCUGAGUUUUCACACAAAGAACACCUGAACAUGUCAAACUGGUUUCAUAGUAGAACCAUCAUUGUAAAAACGUCAUAGUAUGAUGUGUUGCUCAAAAAACAUUAGGACCCGGCUGUCUAGGGUCGCCGAGGAGCAACACAAAAACAGGACAAACGCUGGUUUCCAGGGGGUUAGGCAGCUAUUUAUUUGAAAGAGUAAGUUUACAACAACACAACAUGUGAGCAGAAAAAUCACAAAGUCUGUCUUUAGUUCAGCUGAAAAUAUUAGUUUUUGUCUUUUUUAUUGAUCAAACUUUUCAGGAAGUAGAUGAAGAAUAAUUAAAGCUCUCAUGUAGAAGUCCAACUUAUUUUGGAUCCUUGUGGAGAGUUUAAUCUUAGAGUUUGUACAGCUGUUGAGUUUUUAGAGUCACAUGGAUUGUUUUGACAUUUAAUAACUGAGUCCUGAAAUAAAAUUACAGUUAUGGAUUUCUGUCAUUUAGUCUGGACUAAACAAAUAACAGCAGCAUAAAUCUCAAACAUCAUUAUGAGGAGUCUGGAUUGAGGUUUCUCACUUGAUAAUGAUCAAAACAUGAAAUUUAGGUUGGUUUAAAGGAAUAUUC
ensembl:lncRNA